GAAAUGCGAUAAGUAAUGUAAAUUGCAGAAUUCAGUGAAUCAUCGAAUCUUUGAACGCACAUUGCGCCCGCCAGUAUUCUGGCGGGCAUGCCUGUUCGAGCGUCAUUUCAACCAUCAAGCCCCGGGCUUGUGUUGGGGACCUGCGGCUGCCGCAGGCCCUGAAAACCAGUGGCGGGCUCGCUGUCACACCGAGCGUAGUAGAUUCUCAUCUCGCUCAGGGCGUGCUGCGGGUUCCGGCCGUAAAACAGCCUUAUUUUACCCAAGGUUGACCUCGGAUCAGGUAGGAAGACCCGCUGAACUUAAGC
rnacentral:misc_RNA from 1 species